rnacentral:rRNA from 1 species
GACGAACGCUGGCGGCGUGCUUAACACAUGCAAGUCGAACGGAAAGGCCCUGCUUUUGUGGGGUGCUCGAGUGGCGAACGGGUGAGUAACACGUGAGUAACCUGCCCUUGACUUUGGGAUAACUUCAGGAAACUGGGGCUAAUACCGGAUAGGAGCUCCUGCUGCAUGGUGGGGGUUGGAAAGUUUCGGCGGUUGGGGAUGGACUCGCGGCUUAUCAGCUUGUUGGUGGGGUAGUGGCUUACCAAGGCUUUGACGGGUAGCCGGCCUGAGAGGGUGACCGGCCACAAUGGGACUGAGAUACGGCCCAGACUCCUACGGGAGGCAGCAGUGGGGAAUAUUGCACAAUGGGCGGAAGCCUGAUGCAGCAACGCCGCGUGCGGGAUGACGGCCUUCGGGUUGUAAACCGCUUUCGCCUGUGGCGAAGCGUGAGUGACGGUAAUGGGUAAAGAAGCACCGGCUAACUACGUG